AGCGAACGCUGGCGGCAGGCCUAACACAUGCAAGUCGAACGAACUCUUCGGAGUUAGUGGCGGACGGGUGAGUAACACGUGGGAACGUGCCUUUUGGUUCGGAAUAACUCAGGGAAACUUGUGCUAAUACCGAAUGUGCCCUUCGGGGGAAAGAUUUAUCGCCAUUAGAGCGGUCCGCGUCUGAUUAGCUAGUUGGUGAGGUAACGGCUCACCAAGGCGACGAUCAGUAGCUGGUCUGAGAGGAUGACCAGCCACACUGGGACUGAGACACGGCCCAGACUCCUACGGGAGGCAGCAGUGGGGAAUCUUGCGCAAUGGGCGAAAGCCUGACGCAGUCAUGCCGCGUGAAUGAUGAAGGUCUUAGGAUUGUAAAAUUCUUUCACCGGGGACGAUAAUGACGGUACCCGGAGAAGAAGCCCCGGCUAACUUCGUG
rnacentral:rRNA from 1 species